rnacentral:tRNA from 1 species
GAAAAGUUAGUUAAACAAUAUAACAUAGUUUUGUCAAGACUAAAUUACUAAUCAAUUAAAUAGUACUUUUUA